rnacentral:lncRNA from 1 species
CACCUAAGAGAAUGUUUGAAGUUGUUCCAAAGAAUGGUAACAAAACUCUAUACUUCAAGAUCAUUAUUAUAACUUGAAUUAAGAAUGAUGAAAAAAGACAAAAAAACUUGACUGUCCCAAAGUAACAUCACUAAAGCAAUUGCACAACCACUGGCAUGGAGGAAACUAAUUGUAUAAUGAUCUUCUCUGAUUUUUCUUGUAUAAACCAG